UGUGAUGUGUUGGGCCAUAGGUGGCAG
rnacentral:piRNA from 1 species